rnacentral:rRNA from 1 species
AUUGAACGCUGGCGGCAUGCCUUACACAUGCAAGUCGAACGGUAACGCGGGGCAACCUGGCGACGAGUGGCGAACGGGUGAGUAAUAUAUCGGAACGUGCCCAGUAGUGGGGGAUAGCCCGGCGAAAGCCGGAUUAAUACCGCAUACGACCUACGGGUGAAAGCGGGGGAUCGCAAGACCUCGCGCUAUUGGAGCGGCCGAUGUCGGAUUAGCUAGUUGGUGGGGUAAAGGCCUACCAAGGCAACGAUCCGUAGCUGGUCUGAGAGGACGACCAGCCACACUGGGACUGAGACACGGCCCCAGACUCCUACGGGAGGCAGCAGUGGGGAAUUUUGGACAAUGGGCGCAAGCCUGAUCCAGCCAUGCCGCGUGCGGGAAGAAGGCCUCGGGUUGUAAACCGCUUUUGUCAGGGAAGAAACGGUCUGAGCUAAUACCUCGGACUAAUGACGGUACCUGAAGAAUAAGCACCGGCUAACUACGUGCCAGCAGCCGCGGUAAUNCGUAGGGUGCAAGCGUUAAUCGGAAUACUGGGCGUAAAGCGUGCGCAGGCGGGCUUUUGCAAGACAGAUGUGAAAAUUCCCCCGGGGCUCAACCUGGGAACUGCAUUUGUGACUGCAUCGCUCGAGUGCGGCAGAGGGGGAUGGAGUUCCGCGUGUAGCAGUGAAAUGCGUAGAUAUGCGGAGGAACACCAAUGGCGAAGGCAAUCCCCCUGGGCCUGCACUGACGCUCAUGCACGAAAGCGU